rnacentral:rRNA from 1 species
AGUGAACGCUGGCGGUAGGCCUAACACAUGCAAGUCGAACGGCAGCACAGUAAGAGCUUGCUCUUACGGGUGGCGAGUGGCGGACGGGUGAGGAAUACAUCGGAAUCUACUUUUUCGUGGGGGAUAACGUAGGGAAAAUUACGCUAAUACCGCAUACGACCUCCGGGUGAAAGCAGGGGAUCUUCGGACCUUGCGCGAUUGAAUGAGCCGAUGUCGGAUUAGCUAGUUGGCGGGGUAAAGGCCCACCAAGGCGACGAUCCGUAGCUGGUCUGAGAGGAUGAUCAGCCACACUGGAACUGAGACACGGUCCAGACUCCUACGGGAGGCAGCAGUGGGGAAUAUUGGACAAUGGGCGCAAGCCUGAUCCAGCCAUACCGCGUGGGUGAAGAAGGCCUUCGGGUCGUAAAGCCCUUUUGUUGGGAAAGAAAAGCAGCAGGUUAAUACCCCGCUGUUCUGACGGUACCCAAAGAAUAAGCACGGGCUAGCUUCGUG